AUACGGAGGAUCAGAGCGUUAUCCGGAUUUAUUGGGUUUAAAGGGAGCGUAGGCGGACGCUUAAGUCAGUUGUGAAAGUUUGCGGCUCAACCGUAAAAUUGCAGUUGAUACUGGUCGUCUUGAGUGCAGUAGAGGUAGGCGGAAUUCGUGGUGUAGCGGUGAAAUGCUUAGAUAUCACGAAGAACUCCGAUUGCGAAGGCAGCUUACUGGACUGUAACUGACGCUGAUGCUCGAAAGUGUGGGUAUGAAACAGUAUUAGAUACCCUGGUAGUCCACACAGUAAACGAGGAAUACUCGCUGUUUGCGAUAUACGGCAAGCGGCCAAGCGAAAGCAUUAAGUAUUCCACCUGGGGAGUACGCCGGCAACGGUGAAACUCAAAUGAAUUGACGUGG
rnacentral:rRNA from 1 species